CCAAGUCGAGCGAAUGGGAUUAAGAGCUUGCUCUUAUGAAGUUAGCGGCGGACGGGUGAGUAACACGUGGGUAACCUGCCCAUAAGACUGGGAUAACUCCGGGAAACCGGGGCUAAUACCGGAUAACAUUUUGAACCGCAUGGUUCGAAAUUGAAAGGCGGCUUCGGCUGUCACUUAUGGAUGGACCCGCGUCGCAUUAGCUAGUUGGUGAGGUAACGGCUCACCAAGGCAACGAUGCGUAGCCGACCUGAGAGGGUGAUCGGCCACACUGGGACUGAGACACGGCCCAGACUCCUACGGGAGGCAGCAGUAGGGAAUCUUCCGCAAUGGACGAGAGUCUGACGGAGCAACGCCGCGUGAGUGAUGAAGGCUUUCGGGUCGUAAAACUCUGUUGUUAGGGAAGAACAAGUGCUAGUUGAAUAAGCUGGCACCUUGACGGUACCUAACCAGAGAGCCACGGCUCACUACGUGCCAGCAGCCGCGGUAAUACGUAGGUGGCAAGCGUUAUCCGGAAUUAUUGGGCGUAAAGCGCGCGCAGGUGGUUUCUUAAGUCUGAUGUGAAAGCCCACGGCUCAACCGUGAAAGGUCAUUGGAAACUGGGAGACUUGAGUGCAGAGAGGAAAGGGAAUUCCCUGUGUUCCGGUAAAUGCGUGAAAGUAUGGAAGAAGACAAUGGGA
rnacentral:rRNA from 1 species